rnacentral:tRNA from 1 species
GGGAAUGUGGCUUAGUGGUAGAGUACUUGCCUAGUGUGCAUGAAGCCCUAGGUUUGAUUCCUCAGUACCA